rnacentral:rRNA from 1 species
CCUACGGGUGGCAGCAGUGGGGAAUAUUGGACAAUGGGCGAAAGCCUGAUCCAGCCAUGCCGCGUGUGUGAAGAAGGCCUUCGGGUUGUAAAGCACUUUCAGUUGGGAAGAAAGCCUUUUGGCUAAUACCCACGAGGAUGGACAUUACCCACAGAAGAAGCACCGGCUAACUCCGUGCCAGCAGCCGCGGUAAUACGGAGGGUGCGAGCGUUAAUCGGAAUUACUGGGCGUAAAGCGCGCGUAGGCGGUCUGAUAAGCCGGUUGUGAAAGCCCCGGGCUCAACCUGGGAACGGCAUUCGAACUGUCAGGCUAGAGUGCAGGAGAGGAAGGUAGAAUUCCCGGUGUAGCGGUGAAAUGCGUAGAGAUCGGGAGGAAUACCAGUGGCGAAGGCGGCCUUCUGGACUGACACUGACGCUGAGGUGCGAAAGCGUGGGUAGCAAACAGGAUUAGAUACCCCAGUAGUC